GACGAACGCUGGCGGCGCGCCUAACACAUGCAAGUCGAACGGAGCUACGUUUUCAGAAGUUUUCGGAUGGACGAAGAUUUAGCUUAGUGGCGAACGGGUGAGUAACGCGUGGGUAACCUGCCUUUUAGAGGGGGACAACAGUUGGAAACGACUGCUAAUACCGCAUAAGACCACGGUACCGCAUGGUACAGUGAUCAAAGGAGCAAUCCGCUAAAAGAUGGGCCCGCGUCUGAUUAGAUAGUUGGUGGGGUAACGGCCUACCAAGUCGACGAUCAGUAGCCGGACUGAGAGGUUGAUCGGCCACAUUGGGACUGAGACACGGCCCAG
rnacentral:rRNA from 1 species